rnacentral:rRNA from 1 species
CCUACGGGAGGCAGCAGUGAGGAAUAUUGGUCAAUGGACGAGAGUCUGAACCAGCCAAGUAGCGUGAAGGAUGACUGCCCUAUGGGUUGUAAACUUCUUUUAUAUGGGAAUAAAACGUUCCACGUGUGGGAUUUUGUAUGUACCAUAUGAAUAAGGAUCGGCUAACUCCGUGCCAGCAGCCGCGGUAAUACGGAGGAUCCGAGCGUUAUCCGGAUUUAUUGGGUUUAAAGGGAGCGUAGGUGGAUUGUUAAGUCAGUUGUGAAAGUUUGCGGCUCAACCGUAAAAUUGCAGUUGAAACUGGCAGUCUUGAGUACAGUAGAGGUGGGCGGAAUUCGUGGUGUAGCGGUGAAAUGCUUAGAUAUCACGAAGAACUCCGAUUGCGAAGGCAGUUCACUGGACUGCAACUGACACUGAGGCUCGAAAGUGUGGGUAUCAAACGGGAUUAGAUACCCUUGUAGUC